AUACAGAGGGGGCAAGCGUUAUUCGGAAUUACUGGGCGUAAAGGGCGCGUAGGCGGUUGUUUAAGUCAGAUGUGUAAUCCCCGGGCUCAACCUGGGAACUGCAUCUGAGACUGGAGAGCUAGAGUGCUGGAGAGGGUGGUGGAAUUCCACGUGUAGCGGUGAAAUGCGUAGAGAUGUGGAGGAACACCAGUGGCGAAGGCGGCCACCUGGACAGCAACUGACGCUGAGGCGCGAAAGUGUGGGGAGCAAACAGGAUUAGAUACCCUGGUAGUCCACGCUGUAAACGAUGAACACUUGGUGUGGUGGGAGUUGACCCCUGCCGUGCCGGAGCUAACGCGUUAAGUGUUCCGCCUGGGGAGUACGGUCGCAAGGCUGAA
rnacentral:rRNA from 1 species